UGCCAGCAGCCGCGGUAACACGAACCGUACAAACGUUAUUCGGAAUCACUGGGCUUAAAGGGUGCGUAGGCGGCGUGGUAAGUUGGGUGUGAAAUCCCUCGGCUCAACCGAGGAAUUGCGCUCAAAACUGCCAUGCUCGAGGGAGACAGAGGUAAGCGGAACUCAGGGUGGAGCGGUGAAAUGCGUUGAUAUCCUGGGGAACACCAGUGGCGAAGGCGGCUUACUGGGUCUCUUCUGACGCUGAGGCACGAAAGCUAGGGUAGCGAACGGGAUUAGAUA
rnacentral:rRNA from 1 species